rnacentral:pre_miRNA from 1 species
UUGAGCGCUCAGGAAGCAGAGCCUGAGGGCAUUGUUACCAUGGCCUGGGCUCUUGUUCUCUUCACAUUCCUUAUUCACUGCACAGGUGG